CUCCAGAUGUUGCUGAACUACAACUCCUAUGAAUGAAAUAGGCUGAGAAUCAUGGGAGUUGUAGUUCAGCAACAUCUGGAG